CCUCAAUAAAAGUCUUGCAUUGCCCCCCAGCAGAGGUAAGGAUAGUAAGAAACUAUAUUGAAGUAUAAACACCGCAAAAUCGAAAAUAUUCAUCGAAAUCUAUUCGUUGAUGAGUGAACUGCGUAAAUUGACAAAAAUGGAGCAUUUGUAAGUAUUUACUCGUAUGUAAAAAAAUAGCUGAGGGCGCAUUAUAUUAUGUUUUAAAUGUGUGAUUUAGAGAGAAGAAAAAAAGUUGCACCCAGGCAUAGCUAAAGGAUUUUCUUAAAGAGCUCCCGCGAAAAUAAAUGCUUUUUAGGAGGACACUUCAGAAAGGUUAAACGCUAUGGGCCGUCCAGUUAAGAACAAGACUGGAUGGAAAAAGAUUCGGACUUAUUUUAAAUUUCGAGUUAAAAAGUAAAUGGUUAAAAAUACAAACAAAUUUCUGGAAUAGGUGCUGGGCUCUUCAACCAAGUAAAUUUAAGCUCCCUCGAUGAGGAUGUCAGCGCUAUACUUUUCAUUAAAACACCAGUAGAAGGAUUGAAAGCUUCAAAUGCAAAAUGAAAAAUCAUUUUAUCGUCGGACUAGCAAAUGAAAGAAAAUGGAGUUACUGACCACCUGGCCCACUGUACACCGCACAAGAAACAGAAAAUAAACAAAUUUGGUUUACUUGGGGAGGAAAUAUAUAUACGAGUACAUCCAAAAAAAUAUGGAGGACAAUGUUUCAAAAGUUCUAAACACGCUUAUGAAGCAACAGAGCGAACAUGCACAAGAACAGUCUGAAACAAACAGAUGGAUUAUAAAACUAUAAAUUAAAAAAUAUAAAUUUAAGGAAAUUAGGCGACAUAAUGCUGUGAUGUAAAAAAGCCGAUUGAUAAAUUAGAAACCAAAAAAUAAUUAA
rnacentral:lncRNA from 1 species